rnacentral:rRNA from 1 species
AUGUCCGCAUGGCGGCUCCGCCCGCUCAUGCUCUUCCUCUUCCUCUUGCCCCGCGGCGCACUCUCACAGAUAGGGAGGGGAUUGGCGCUGCCGCCAUCAUCGCCGAUGGGGUUUAACAUAACGUGCAACAGCAUCGACUAUCCAUUUGGCAUCGAAGGGAUAGCGCAACAACCAGGCUUCGAGGUAACGUGCGGCCGAAACAGUGAGGCCAUGUUGCAGAUCGACAAGCAUAGCUAUAAAAUCGACUAUGUGUCGGUGGAAGAAGGCUUCGUCGUCGUCUUAGCCGGGCCCAUCCACCAAGUCUGCUACGACCGCAACGGUAAGCAGAUGAAGGCCACCGGAAUCGGCAAUAUCAGCUUGGAGCAGACGCCCUUCACCUUCUCCAAGAGCAAUAAGCUGGUGGCCACUGGAUGCAACUACAAGCUGGUUGCUAAGUUCAGCAACUCGUCGGACGGUGAAAGUUUCUGCUCCACCUCCUGCGACGAAUACUCCGGCACCGUCGAUUGUAUCCAUGGGUUAGCAUGCUGCGAGGUCCCCAUGCCGAUGAACACCACUCGAGAGUUCACCUUCAAGUUCGACAAGAUAGAAGAGCAAGACAUUGGCUACGAGGAUGGCACUUGUAGCGCUGCCUUCUUCCUCGACCAAGGCGAGCAAGUCUUCAUGGGUGGCAGAGGCAAUGCGCAGAGACCGCUGAAAGACAUGUUGUUGCCGGCUGUUGACCACAGGAUGAUCUUGGAUUGGGCAGUUGGACGCGGCACAUGCCACCAGGCCUCGACCCACAACUUGGCGCGAAGGUACUGCAACAAGAUGAGCGGGUGUAUUGACGCACCCAGUGGAGCGGGCCAUCUCUGCAAGUGUCAUGCAGGGUAUGACGGGAAUCCGUACGUUGCCGAUGGAUGUGUAGAUAUCGAUGAAUGCCGGACUUCCGACAGCAACAAUUGCACCAUUCAGGACUUCUGCCACAACACCCGAGGAGGUUAUACUUGCUCAUGUCCCAAUGGCUGGAUCGGUGACGGUUACCUUACAGGGACAAACUGCAGUGAGGCACUCAGUCCAUCUGGUGUUGGUCUUGCACUUGUGGUUAUAAUAUCUAGCACAGCUCUGUGCUGCUACUGGGGCAUGAAGAGAAGAAAGGUGAGAAGAAAGAGAGCUGAGUUAUUCCGUAAGAAUGGAGGCUUGCUGUUGCAGCAGAGAUUUACGGCAAUCACAUCUCAAGGUAAGGACUCUUCAGCAAAGAUAUUCAGUGCGGAAGAGCUCAAGACUGCAACUAACAACUAUAACGAGACUCGAAUUCUUGGCCGAGGUGCAUAUGGCACAGUGUACAAGGGUGUUCUUCCAGAUGAGACUGUGGUUGCUGUAAAGAAGUCUAGGGUGUUUGAUGAGAGCCAGGUGGAGCAAUUUGUCAAUGAGAUUACCAUCUUAUCACAGACCGAUCACCCGAAUGUUGUCAAGCUUUUGGGAUGUUGUCUAGAGAUAGAAGUUCCCUUGUUGGUAUAUGAGUUCAUACCCAAUGGAACACUCUUUCAGCACAUCCACAACAGAAGUGCACCUCGCUCCUUAACAUGGGAGGAUACCUUAAGGAUAGCUGCAGAAGCAGCAGAAGCACUUGCCUACCUCCAUUCCACAUCUUCUAUACCAAUUAUUCACAGGGAUAUCAAAUCAAGCAACAUAUUGUUGGAUGAGAACUUUGUGGCCAAAAUAUCAGACUUUGGUGCAUCAAGAUCAGUUCCAUUUGAUCAAACUCAUGUAACCACCCUUAUUCAAGGUACUAUAGGUUACCUCGAUCCUGAAUAUUUUCAAAGCAGCCAGCUCACAGAGAAGAGUGAUGUCUACAGUUUUGGAGUAGUUCUUGCAGAACUAUUGACAAGGCAGAAGCCCAUUUCUGUAGGCAGGCCAGAGGAAUCAUGCAACUUAGCAAUGCAUAUGGUGAUUCUAGUUAAUGAAGGGCGCCUACUUAAGGAGAUAGAGCCAGACAUUUUGGCAGAAGCAGGUGAAGAGCAGGUCUAUGCAGUUGCGCAGCUCUCUGUGAGAUGCUUAAAUAUGAAUGGGCAAGAACGACCCAUCAUGAAGGAGGUUGCAUCAGUUUUAGAGGGGCUAAGAAGGUCAUUCACCAAUGACAAGGAGCAAACUAUGAGAAGAACAGAUGAACCUGCACAGAAAUAUAAUGAACAAGGGCACCUUCUACGUGAGGCAAGCUCGACUUCCAACCUGCACUAUUCAGAAGGAAGCACACAGUUGAGCAUGGAGGCUGAAAUGAAAGCUUCUUGUCACACUCCAAGAUGA